UACGGAGGGUGCAAGCGGUUAUCCGGAUUCACUGGGUUUAAAGGGUGCGUAGGCGGGCAAGGUAAGUCAGUGGUGAAAUCUCCGGAGCUUAACUCGGAAACUGCCGUUGAUACUAUCUGUCUUGAAUAUUGUGGAGGUAAGCGGAAUAUGUCAUGUAGCGGUGAAAUGCUUAGAUAUGACAUAGAACACCUAUUGCGAAGGCAGCUUACUACGCAAUCAUUGACGCUGAGGCACGAAAGCGUGGAGGAUCAAAACAGG
rnacentral:rRNA from 1 species